AGAUUGAUAGGUUAAGUUCAACACAUCAUUGGCUUAGCUUGAGUAAGGAUAUCCGAAUGAAUUGAACAUGUUAGUAAACACAUCAUAGGUGCAAUCAUUGUCUAGUGGUGAGGAGUGGUUCCUAACUAGUUUUUGUUAUUUGAUUUCCAAAACCAAAAUCCCCAAAUUUAGUUUUCUGUUUUUGAUCAGUCUGUCUGUCAUAUUUCUGAAUUUUGUUAACAUAGCAAAACUACACAGUUUCCCCCCAAAUUCUGUGUGUGUCUUCGUCAGUGUGUCUAGUUUCUCCAGAUUUAAUUUCGUAAUUUUUCGUUGGGUCUAGCUAUAGUUUUUGUUUUCGUCUUUGUCUAGUGUCUGUUCAGUUUUUCAGAGUCAUAUUUGCAAUGGUUGAGUCACAAUCCUCUGCGGGAGACACCCUACAUUUCUAUACUACCAUCGAUAACUUGAUUGUGAUUGCAGGGUUAUUUUAUAAGUCUAUAAAAUCAUCGCAUUUUAUGCUCCUAUCAAAUUUCCCCACACUUAGCUUUUGCUAGUCCCUUAGCAAAAUCAAAGACUCAAAACCUAUCUAGACUCGAAACCAACUCUAAUGCCCUUAACGAAUUGUCUCAGAAAUCCCCUACUUUCAUAGCACAAAGAAUAACACGCAACUGAGAAUUAAGCUCACAUUCGAGAGUUAAUAAAGACUCAUAUUCAACAUAGCACAAGUAAGACUUGGGAGAGAACAAUGGUGAUGGUUAGAGCUCAACAUGCAUAAGACAAAUCAUGAUUUCACCUCACAAGGAUUGCACUAUUUCUUCUCUCAAGAUUCAAGGUAUGCUUAAAAGCUUUCACUCAAGUGUAUGCGAGAGAUCAACAAAUAGCUCACAUACGUAAGAAAGAAAGAAAAACUCAACGAAAAACAUGAUUUAUAAUCCCAUGAAGGACCACAAUAUGCUCAACUUUUGCACCUAACUCCACAGAUCAUAGUUUGCCCAUCUCAAGGAUCAAGUAGGUCUUUUUCAUGGUUGUAAUGGGGCUAGGCUUAGGGUUACAGAAACAAGGGGAUAGAAAUUCAAACAAGUAUCCUGAAACCUAGCAGAGCUUUCAUUGAUGUAGGGAGAUUCCUCUUGUGCUCUUACAACCAUCAAGGUCUCCUUGUAACUUCAUUGUGUCAUCAAAUGCGGCCGAAUGUCAUUGAGUUGGGCCGUUGCUUCAUUCUAAACACUUCAAGAAAUUAAGCUCGAUGUUCUUCACAUAUUCUUUUUCUUUAGUUCUUCUCUUC
rnacentral:lncRNA from 1 species